UACAGAGACUGCAAGCGUUAUUCGGAUUCACUGGGCGUAAAGGGUGCGCAGGCGGCCAAGUGUGUGAGGCGUGAAAGCCUGGAGCUUAACUCCAGAAUUGCACCUCAAACUACAUGGCUAGAGCAUUGGAGAGGGUAGCGGAAUUCACGGUGUAGCAGUGAAAUACGCAGAUAUCAGGAAGAACACCCGUGGCUAAGGCGGCUCUCUAGUACGGUACUGACGCUGAGACGCGAAAGCGUGGGGAGCGAACAGG
rnacentral:rRNA from 1 species